rnacentral:rRNA from 1 species
GAUGAACGCUGGCGGCGUGCCUAAUACAUGCAAGUCGAGCGAACGGACGAGAAGCUUGCUUCUCUGAUGUUAGCGGCGGACGGGUGAGUAACACGUGGAUAACCUACCUAUAAGACUGGGAUAACUUCGGGAAACCGUAGCUAAUACCGGAUAAUAUUUUGAACCGCAUGGUUCAAAAGUGAAAGACGGUCUUGCUGUCACUUAUAGAUGGAUCCGCGCUGCAUUAGCUAGUUGGUAAGGUAACGGCUUACCAAGGCAACGAUGCAUAGCCGACCUGAGAGGGUGAUCGGCCACACUGGAACUGAGACACGGUCCAGACUCCUACGGGAGGCAGCAGUAGGGAAUCUUACGCAAUGGGCGAAAGCCUGACGGAGCAACGCCGCGUGAGUGAUGAAGGUCUUCGGAUCGUAAAACUCUGUUAUCAGGGAAGAACAUAUGUGUAAGUAACUGUGCACAUCUUGACGGUACCUAAUCAGAAAGCCACGGCUAACUACGUG